UACGAAGGGUGCAAGCGUUACUCGGAAUUACUGGGCGUAAAGAGCUCGUAGGUGGUUUGUCGCGUUGUUCGUGAAAACUCACAGCUCAACUGUGGGCGUGCGGGCGAUACGGGCAGACUGGAGUACUGCAGGGGAGACUGGAAUUCCUGGUGUAGCGGUGGAAUGCGCAGAUAUCAGGAGGAACACCGGUGGCGAAGGCGGGUCUCUGGGCAGUAACUGACGCUGAGGAGCGAAAGCGUGGGGAGCAAACAGG
rnacentral:rRNA from 1 species